rnacentral:rRNA from 4 species
AAUCCAUAGGUUAAUGAGGCGAACCGGGGGAACUGAAACAUCUAAGUACCCCGAGGAAAAGAAAUCAACCGAGAUUCCCCCAGUAGCGGCGAGCGAACGGGGAGGAGCCCAGAGCCUGAAUCAGCAUGUGUGUUAGUGGAAGCGUCUGGAAAGGCGCGCGAUACAGGGUGAGAGCCCCGUACACAAAAGCGCACGUGCUGUGAGCUCGAUGAGUAGGGCGGGACACGUGGUAUCCUGUCUGAAUAUGGGGGGACCAUCCUCCAAGGCUAAAUACUCCUGACUGACCGAUAGUGAACCAGUACCGUGAGGGAAAGGCGAAAAGAACCCCGGCGAGGGGAGUGAAACAGAACCUGAAACCGUGUACGUAC